rnacentral:rRNA from 1 species
AUUGAACGCUGGCGGAAUGCUUUACACAUGCAAGUCGAACGGCAGCACGGACUUCGGUCUGGUGGCGAGUGGCGAACGGGUGAGUAACAUAUCGGAACGUGCCCAGUCGUGGGGGAUAACGUAGUGAAAAUUACGCUAAUACCGCAUACGAUCUAUGGAUGAAAGCGGGGGAUCGCAAGACCUCGCGCGAUCGGAGCGGCCGAUGUCAGAUUAGGUAGUUGGUGGGGUAAAGGCCCACCAAGACAACGAUCUGUAGCUGGUCUGAGAGGACGACCAGCCACACUGGAGCUGAGACACGGUCCAGACUCCUACGGGAGGCAGCAGUGGGGAAUUUUGGACAAUGGGCGAAAGCCUGAUCCAGCCAUUCCGCGUGCAGGAUGAAGGCCCUCGGGUUGUAAACUGCUUUUGUACAGAACGAAAAGGUUUCUACUAAUACUAGGAGCUCAUGACGGUACUGUAAGAAUAAGCACCGGCUAACUACGUGCCAGCAGCCGCGGUAA